rnacentral:rRNA from 1 species
AUACGGAGGGGACAAGCGUUAUUCGGAAUCACUGGGCGUAAAGGACGCGUAGGCGGGUUAUUAAGUCGGGUGUGAAAUCCAAUGGCUCAACCAUUGAACUGCAUUCGAAACUGAUAACCUAGAGUAUGGAAGGGGCAGGUGGAAUUAGUGGUGUAGGGGUAAAAUCCGUAGAUAUCACUAGGAAUACCGAAAGCGAAGGCGACCUGCUGGGACAUUACUGACGCUGAGGCGUGAAAGCGUGGGGAGCAAACAGGAUUAGAUACCCGGGUAGUCC